UGCUCUCUAGGGUGACAUGUUUAACAUAUGAAGCCCCGGAGAGCCGCAGUGAAUUGGUGGUGGCGACUGUUUACUAAAAACAUAGGUCUGUGCGAAGUCCUAAAGACGACGUAUACGGACUGACGCCUGCCCGGUGCUGGAAGGUUAAAAGGAGGAGUCAGCGCAAGCAAAGCUCCGAAUUGAAGCCCCAGUAAACGGCGGCCGUAACUAUAACGGUCCUAAGGUAGCGAAAUUCCUUGUCGGGUAAGUUCCGACCUGCACGAAUGGCGUAACGAUCUCCACACUGUCUCGGCCAGAGACUCGGUGAAAUUGCAGUCGCGGUGAAAAUUCCGUGUACCCGCAGAAAGACGGAAAGACCCUGUGCACCUUUACUAUAGCUUGACAUUGGAUUUUGGACCUACAUGUGUAGGAUAGGUGGGAGGCAGUGAACCAUGCACGCCAGUGUGUGGGGAGCCAACGUUGAAAUACCACCCUUGUAUGUUUAAGAUCCUAACGUCCACCAGUAAUCCUGGGGACAGACAGUGUCUGGCGGGUAGUUUGACUGGGGCGGUCGCCUCCUAAAGUGUAACGGAGGCAUGCAAAGGUUCCCUCAGCCUGAUCGGAAACCAGGCGCUGAGUGCAAACGCAUAAGGGAGCUUGACUGUAAGAGAGACAUCUCGAACAGGAACGAAAGUUGGCGUUAGUGAUCCGGUGGUCCCGAAUGGAAGGGCCAUCGCUCAUUGGAUAAAAGGUACGCCGGGGAUAACAGGCUGAUCGCAUCCAAGAGUUCACAUCGACGAUGCGGUUUGGCACCUCGAUGUCGGCUCAUCACAUCCUGGGGCUGAAGCAGGUCCCAAGGGUUCGGCUGUUCGCCGUUUAAAGUGGUACGCGAGCUGGGUUUAAAACGUCGUGAGACAGUUUGGUCCCUAUCUUCUGUGGGCGAAGGAGAAUUGAGAGGGCCUGUCCCUAGUACGAGAGGACCGGGAUGGACGCACCCCUGGUGAUCCUGUUGUCGCGCCAGCGGCAUAGCAGGGUAGCUAUGUGCGGAAGGGAUAACCGCUGAAAGCAUCUAAGCGGGAAGCCUGCCUCAAGAUAAGUUCUCCCCUCGAAAGAGCUGAAGGACCCAGAUAGACUAUCUGGUUGAUAGGCUGGAGGUGUAAGCGUGGCGACAUGCUCAGCUGACCAGUACUAAUAGUCCGAGCGGCUUAUUUUU
rnacentral:rRNA from 1 species